AGAAAUUAAUGCGGAAGCUAAGCUGGAAACAUGACCAAAUCGACCACAUAACAAUCUGCCAAUUAUGGCGGUUUUUCUUGGGUUAGAGUGUUCUACUGCGAGCAGAUCUGAUCGACCCACUGUAUGAAGAGAAGGAUGAGCAUGUCUCUUUAGCAAACACCUGGCCACGGUUUCAAGAAAACUCCAAGAUCUAAUCGAGCGUCUUCUUCGUUUUAUGACUGGCGAGCAGGGGUAGAGAAGUUAUCAGCAUGAUGUGUGACACAGG